ACUGGGAGGUGGACCGGACCGGGCCGUUGGGUUUUUCUCCUCAUCAGCAGAACAGGAGGAGAGGUCAAGUGUUUAAACAGCAGAUCCUGGUUGGUGACCUUUGACCCAGAAGGUGAUAACAUGUUUAUCACAGUACCAGGUUCAGUUCUCCAGAAUAAGAGUGUAACUGGACCACAGAGCAGAUGUUCUGGUCCACUGAACCUCCUGGAACCAGAACCCUCCUCCAGAGUCCAGAAAACUAACUGAGCCAGGAUUAGAGGUCCGAUUGGUUCUGAUGUUUUCUGAAUGAGGAGGAAUUAAAUCUUUCCUAAGUGGAGAUUUUUUUAAAACUCAGUUUGUCUUUUAUUCCAACUCAUCCAUCUGCCCACUAGGGGGAGCUCGUCUUCCUGCAGCUCCAGUCCUGCAGCUUUAAGUCUCUCUGCUUCAGCUGGAUCCAGUAUGAACUCCCAGUAUAGAUCUAUAGAGCUGGACUGAUGACACUUUAAUCAUUUCAUUUCAGUGUGGAGGAACAGAGACACAUCUUAAAGUCAGAGGAUUCUGGACUUCAAUGAAUGCAGGUUCAGUUUGAGAUUAAUGGACCAGAACACAGAGGAGGAGUCCGGCUGCAUCCUGCUGCAGGUUUAUUGAUGGAUUAUUGAUCCUCUGGUUGAUCAGACAUGAUGUCUUUAACUCACUGAUGGUUGAUGGUGAAAACAUGAAGGACUCUUAAAGCUGCAGCUGGAGCUCAGAGGAAACCAACUGGAU